GAAGCGCUAAUGAGCGUGUGGUGACAAACGACCAGCAGUUAGUUGGGUGGAAAACUGCAUCACUAGCAGUUAAGAAUAUCUUCAUAUCCGCUCCGGGGAGGGGGUUGGACGGAAUAUUGUGAACACGACACGCGACACUCGCACUAUCCGGCCAGACCUGAUGAAGACGCACCCGGGGGGUAUUCGGUGAAGAUAAAGUUGUUUCAAAAAGUGCCGGGGCGUUUUGUUAUUGUGCAGUGGCGUUUCAAAAUCAAACUGUAGUUUGCAUACACUCCAGAGAGGGUUUCAGCGUGUCCCAGUAACCAGAUCAAAUAGACACCAGGCCACCGUCGUUCACCACCACCACCAACGACGGGGAGAGGCCAACUCGGUCAACGUUUUUAAUUGCAUUUUCAUCCAGAAAAUGACAAAAAAAAGCAACCACUUCGAGUACCGAGGUCGCUCGAGGGCGUCCGCGCGGGUGUCUUUUUCCCAGUGCCACAGCCCGAAACCUAAUUGAGCCACGUACCGCGUACGCUUCGGGACGCCAGCCAACGACGGCGACGACCGGAUCCGGAUGUCAUCACCUGCAUCCCGACGAGGAGGAAGAGUGGACUUGAGGAGAGUUCCGCGGGUAAAGCCUGAACCGAAAACUCACCCCGGGGGAGGUGUCAUAUGAAGCACAACGUGCCGCACCAAAAACGUGUGUUGUGGAAAAUCUACCCAGGGAAGAAGGAAAGAACAACAACCCACACCACCCCAAACGGAAGCUCCCAAGCGUGAGGGUUAAUAUUAAAAAUGUCUACCCAAAAUGGUGUGACUGAGAGUGUGUGUGAGGUGAAAAUAUGAGGCAAUGCGAGGGCAUUGCAUGUUGGCUUUUAAAAUUAUGUGCUUCUUUCUUUCUCCCCCUCGUGUGUUUGUUCUCGCAUGUGAAGCUUCUUCACUUGGGCAGCACUUCCAAAGUAAACGCACCGUUAAGUGGCAGUAAAAUUUAAGCACUCGAGCGUAUCCUUUCCAAAAAAGCACAUCAAAACAACGACAGGAACUUUAGCCCGAAAAAAAAUGAAAUAAAAUUAUCUACGAACAGG